rnacentral:lncRNA from 1 species
CCACCUACGAUAGUAGAGGGGCAUUAUGUUUUCUGGUCUGUUCGUCCGUGCGUCCGUCCGUCCGUUCGUCCCACUUCAGGUUAAAGUUUUUGGUCAAGGUAGUUUUUGAUGAAGCUGAAGUCCAAUCAACUUGAAACUUAGUACACAUGUUCCUUAUGAUAUGAUCUUUCUUAUUUUAAAACAAAAUUAGACUUUUGACACCAUUUUCAUGGUCCACUGAACAUAGAAAUUAAAAGUGUGAGUUUCAGGUUAAAAGUUUUUGGUCAAGGUAGUUUUUGAUGAAGCUGAAGUCCAAUCAACUUGAAACUUAGUACCCCUGUUCCUUAUGAUAUGAUCUUUCUUAUUUUAAAACAAAAUUAGUCUUUUGACACCAUUUUCAUGGUCCACUGAACAUAUAAAUUAAAAGUGUGAGUUUCAGGUUAAAGUUUUGGUCAAGGUUGUGUUUGAUGAAGCUGAAGUCCAAUCAACUUGAAACUUAGUACACAUGUUCCUUAUGAUAUGAUCUUUCUUAUUUUAAAACAAAAUUAGACUUUUGACACCAUUUUCAUGGUCCACUGAUCAUAGAAAUUAAAAGUAUGAGUUUCAGGUUAAAGUUUUUGGUCAAGGUAGUUUUUGAUGAAGCUGAAGUCCAAUCAACUUGAAACUUAGUACACAUGUUUCUUUUGAUAUGAUCUUUCAUAUUUUUAAACCAAAUUAGACUUUUGACCCCAUUUUCAUGGUCCACUGAACAUAGAAAUUAAAAGUGUAAGUUUCAGGUUAAAGUUUUAGGUCAAGGUAGUUUUUGAUGAAGUUAAAGUCCAAUCAACUUGAAACUUAGUACACGUGUUCCUUAUUAGUUGAUCUUUUUACUUUUAAGGCCAAAUUAGAUUUUUUACCCAAUUUCACGGUCCAUUGAACAUGGAAAAUGAUAAUGCGAGUGGGGCA